GAAGAUUCGAACCUGCCGCAGGUUCGGGUCUCACGUAGUGAGACAACGGAGCCGCUUGCGGCGACGGCCCGAAGGGCGAGCAAAGCGAGUCAUCCUGCACGACCCACCA
rnacentral:sRNA from 5 species